rnacentral:rRNA from 1 species
GAUGAACGCUAGCUACAGGCUUAACACAUGCAAGUCGAGGGGAAACGGCAUUAAGUGCUUGCACUUUUUGGACGUCGACCGGCGCACGGGUGAGUAACGCGUAUCCAACCUUCCCAUGACUAAGGGAUAACCUGCCGAAAGGCAGACUAAUACCUUAUGGUCUUCACUGACGGCACCAGAUGUGAAGUAAAGAUUUAUCGGUUAUGGAUGGGGAUGCGUCUGAUUAGCUUGUUGGCGGGGUAACGGCCCACCAAGGCAACGAUCAGUAGGGGUUCUGAGAGGAAGGUCCCCCACAUUGGAACUGAGACACGGUCCAAACUCCUACGGGAGGCAGCAGUGAGGAAUAUUGGUCAAUGGGCGAGAGCCUGAACCAGCCAAGUAGCGUGCAGGAUGACGGCCCUAUGGGUUGUAAACUGCUUUUGUAUGGGGAUAAAGUCAAUCACGUGUGAUUGUUUGCAGGUACCAUACGAAUAAGGACCGGCUAAUUCCGUGCCAGCAGCCGCGGUAAUACGGAAGGUCCGGGCGUUAUCCGGAUUUAUUGGGUUUAAAGGGAGCGUAGGCUGGAGAUUAAGUGUGUUGUGAAAUGUAGGCGCUCAACGUCUGACUUGCAGCGCAUACUGGUUUCCUUGAGUACGCACAACGUUGGCGGAAUUCGUCGUGUAGCGGUGAAAUGCUUAGAUAUGACGAAGAACUCCGAUUGCGAAGGCAGCUGACGGGAGCGCAACUGACGCUGAAGCUCGAAGGUGCGGGUAUCGAACAGG